rnacentral:rRNA from 1 species
GACAGAGGUGCCGAGCGUUAGGCGGAAUCACUGGGCUUAAAGCGUGUGUAGGCGGAUCUGUAAGUACCUUGUGAAAUCCCACGGCUCAACCGUGGAACUGCUCGGUAUACUGGUCGUCUUGAGCCACUUAGGGGCAGUCGGAACAGACGGUGGAGCGGUGAAAUGCGUAGAUAUCGUCUGGAACGCCAAAGGUGAAAACAGACUGCUGGGAGUGCGCUGACGCUGAGACACGAAAGCCAGGGGAGCGAACGGG